rnacentral:rRNA from 1 species
CUGCUGCCUCCCGUAGGAGUCUGGGCCGUAUCUCAGUCCCAAUGUGGCCGGUCAACCUCUCAGUCCGGCUACUGAUCGUCGCCUAGGUGGGCCGUUACCCCGCCUACCAGCUAAUCAGACGCGAGGCCAUCUUCCAGCGAUAAAUCUUUGACAUGUCCGUGAUGCCACGGUCAUGUGUCAUGCGGUAUUAGCAGUCGUUUCCAACUGUUGUCCCCCUCUGGAAGGCAGGUUCCUCACGCGUUACU